UUCGUACGAUCACCGAAGUUAAGCAUCGUAGAGCCAGGUCAGUACUUAGAUGGGGGACCGCUUGGGAACACCUGGUACUGUAAGC